rnacentral:rRNA from 1 species
UACGGAAGGCAGCAGUGGGGAAUAUUGCACAAUGGGCGCAAGCCUGAUGCAGCCAUGCCGCGUGUAUGAAGAAGGCCUUCGGGUUGUAAAGUACUUUCAGUCGUGAGGAAGGUGUUAAGGUUAAUAACCUUAGCAAUUGACGUUAGCGACAGAAGAAGCACCGGCUAACUCCGUGCCAGCAGCCGCGGUAAUACGGAGGGUGCGAGCGUUAAUCGGAAUUACUGGGCGUAAAGGGCACGCAGGCGGUUAAUUAAGUUGGAUGUGAAAUCCCCGGGCUUAACCUGGGAAUAGCAUUCAAGACUGGUUAGCUAGAGUCUUGUAGAGGGGGUAGAAUUCCAUGUGUAGCGGUGAAAUGCGUAGAGAUGUGGAGGAAUACCGGUGGCGAAGGCGGCCCCUGGACAAAGACUGACGCUCAUGUGCGAAAGCGUGGGGAGCAAAC